GGAAGCGUGCCUGAAAGUUAAGGACCUCCUUGA
rnacentral:tRNA from 1 species